GACGAACGCUGGCGGCGUGCUUAACACAUGCAAGUCGAACGGAAAGGCCCUGCUUGCAGGGUACUCGAGUGGCGAACGGGUGAGUAACACGUGGGUGAUCUGCCCUGCACUUCGGGAUAAGCUUGGGAAACUGGGUCUAAUACCGGAUAGGAACCAUCUUUAGUGUGGUGGUUGGAAAGUUUUUUCGGUGUAGGAUGAGCUCGCGGCCUAUCAGCUUGUUGGUGGGGUAAUGGCCUACCAAGGCGGCGACGGGUAGCCGGCCUGAGAGGGUGUACGGCCACAUUGGGACUGAGAUACGGCCCAGACUCCUACGGGGGGCAGCAGUGGGGAAUAUUGCACAAUGGGCGCAAGCCUGAUGCAGCGACGCCGCGUGGGGGAUGAAGGCCUUCGGGUUGUAAACUCCUUUCGCUAGGGACGAAGCUUUGUUGUGACGGUACCUAGAGAAGAAGCACCGGCUAACUACGUG
rnacentral:rRNA from 1 species